UACGGAGGGCGCAAGCGUUAAUCGGAAUCACUGGGCGUAAAGCGUGCGUAGGCUGCUUGAUAAGUCAGACGUGAAAUCCCUCGGCUCAACCGGGGAACUGCGUUUGAUACUGUCGAGCUAGAGUCCUGGAGAGGGUGGCGGAAUUCCUGGUGUAGGAGUGAAAUCCGUAGAUAUCAGGAGGAACACCGGUGGCGAAGGCGGCCACCUGGACAGGUACUGACGCUGAGGUACGAAAGCGUGGGGAGCAAACAGG
rnacentral:rRNA from 1 species